CCCGCUGAACUUAAGCAUAUCAAUAAGCGGAGGAAAAGAAACUAACAAGGAUUCCCCUAGUAACUGCGAGUGAAGCGGGAAAAGCUCAAAUUUUAAAUCUGGUGGCCCCGCCGCCCGAGUUGUAUUCUGGAGAAGCGUCUUCCGCGCCGGACCGUGUACAAGUGCCUUGGAACAGGACGUCACAGAGGGUGAGAAUCCCGUCUUUGACACGGACCCCCGGCGCUCUGCGAUGCGCUCUCGAAGAGUCGAGUUGUUUGGGAAUGCAGCUCAAAACGGGUGGUAAAUUCCAUCUAAAGCUAAAUAUUGGCGAGAGACCGAUAGCGAACAAGUACCGUGAUGGAAAGAUGAAAAGAACUUUGAAAAGAGAGUGAAAAAGUACGUGAAAUUGUUGAAAGGGAAGGGCUUGAAAUCAGACUUGGUAUUCAAUGAUCAAUUUUCUUUCGGGGAGAUGCACUCGUUGUUUACUGGGCCAACAUCGAUUUAGACGGUGAGAUAAUGACAGUUGAAUGUGGCUUGCUUCGGUAAGUGUUAUAGCUUCUGUUGAUAUCAUCAGUUUGGAUCGAGGACUGCGCAUUUUUGCUAGGAUGUUGGCGUAAUGAUUUUAAGCCACCCGUCUUGAAACACGG
rnacentral:rRNA from 1 species